ACCUCCCCUCCCUGCCAGAGGACCCCCCAGACAUCCCCUCCCAUCACCGCAGCUCACCCCCAGGGCCCUUCCCUCCCUCCAAGGAGCCCCAAAUCCAACAUCCGUCCCUACAACAGGAUCCCAACACACACAUCCCCCUGCUCACCCCCACCCCGUUCCUACACCCCCCAAAUCCCUUCAUCGCCUCCCACAGCCCCCCAAGCACCCCAAACCUCCCCUCCCUGCCGAAGGACCCCCAAACACCCCCUUAUAUCACCCCAGUCCUCUCGGUUCGCUCCCCGCGCACCCCCCGGAUCGCCCCGUCCCCGGGUCCCGGAGGGGCCGGAGGAGGAAGAGGAGGAAGAAGAGGGAGCUGCUGCACAAGAUGAGCUGGGAUGCAAAGCAGAUUUGCCAUCUUCCUUCCUCCUGGGGGUGCCAGGCAUAGAGACAAGUCAGGAGGCUCCACAUCUGGCAUCGACCCCUGAUCCUUGAGCUCCACCUGUGAGAAAUGUGAACAAUGAAGCACAGAGCAACACUGAACUUCCAAGGAAAACAAGGUUAUGUGCAGACAGGCUUGAGCCAGAUAAGCUGAGAUGAUCUGUAUCCCAUAUGAGAAGCUUUGCCAGGGAAUUUGAAGCCAGUCUUUGCUUCCAUUUUGAAGCAGAAAAUCCUUAUGUCAAAGUGAAAACUGUAGAGUAAAGCAUGGACUGAGUAUCUGGGGCAAAGAAAAUAAACAUAAUCAUGCACCACUGAA